UACAGAGGUGCCAAGCGUUAGGCGGAAUCACUGGGCUUAAAGCGCGUGUAGGUGGGUCGUUAAGUGUCCGCGUGAAAUCCCACGGCUCAACCGUGGAACUGCCGGGCAUACUGGCGAUCUUGAGGCAUUCAGGGGCGAGCGGAACAAAUGGUGGAGCGGUGAAAUGCGUAGAUAUCAUUUGGAACGCCAAUGGUGAAAACAGGUAGCUGGGAGUGUGCUGACGCUGAGACACGAAAGCCAGGGGAGCGAACGGG
rnacentral:rRNA from 1 species